rnacentral:rRNA from 1 species
ACGAACGCUGGCGGCGUGCCUAAUACAUGCAAGUCGAGCGAGUCUGCCUUGAAGAUCGGAGUGCUUGCACUCUGUGAAACAAGAUACAGGCUAGCGGCGGACGGGUGAGUAACACGUGGGUAACCUGCCCAAGAGAUCGGGAUAACACCUGGAAACAGAUGCUAAUACCGGAUAACAACAGAUGAUGCCUAUCAACUGUUUAAAAGAUGGUUCUGCUAUCACUCUUGGAUGGACCUGCGGUGCAUUAGCUAGUUGGUAGGGUAACGGCCUACCAAGGCGAUGAUGCAUAGCCGAGUUGAGAGACUGAUCGGCCACAUUGGGACUGAGACACGGCCCAAACUCCUACGGGAGGCAGCAGUAGGGAAUCUUCCACAAUGGACGCAAGUCUGAUGGAGCAACGCCGCGUGAGUGAAGAAGGGUUUCGGCUCGUAAAGCUCUGUUGUUGGUGAAGAAGGACAGGGGUAGUAACUGACCUUUGUUUGACGGUAAUCAAUUAGAAAGUCACGGCUAACUACGUG